GUGACAGCUCUGGAUGCCAAAGUCCUCUGUUUAUUUACAGAGCAGGUACAAAACGGGCAACAAGAACAAAAGCUUUCCCCGCACCGCGUAACCAACGGGCCUGGCUGGAAGGACCACCUCAAGAGAUGAAACGCUAGCUCAGUCUCCAUAGCAAUCACUUGCUCUAUGGU
rnacentral:sRNA from 1 species